AAAACAAAGCAUCAGGUCUUGAAAGCACCAAGAAUAAAACAGUCCAUUGCUUAUACAUUGGAUUACCAUCUGAAACAAUGGAGCACACAAAACAGUGAAAUGACAUAUUCAAAGUUCUAAAAGCAAAACAAACCCACUUUGAAAACAAGGAAUUCUCUCUCUAGCAAAACUCUUCUUUAAAAAUGAAGGCAAGUGAUAUGGGAAACCACAGCAAAUUUUGAUCAGAAGAGUAAUAUCAACUAACUCCACUUGGACCGCAUGGAAACGAGGAAGGAGAAUACUACAGCAACCUGGAAGCCAGUGAAAAAUGAUGGCAACACUAUCUAAGAUGGUAAAAAAUUGACGAAGAAAAGCUCAUUUCGAACUGUUGAGGAGAGAAAUGUAUUUGCAGAGAGAGCAUGAAAAAUCAUGAACCACUCCAUGGGUUUUGCCUUGUGCAAGUGGAAGCAAGGGAAGAAGAUAAAGAGAUGUUUUUAUGGGGCUUCUCUACUUAACACAAUCCUGAGAUUUAACACAGGAUGGAAAAGAAGGCAUUAUAAAAUUUCAGUAAGAUGGGAUCUUGCCAUGUUGUUCAGGCUGGCCUUGAAUUACUGGACUCGAGUGAUCCUCCAACCUCGGCCUCCUGAGUACAUAUUCCCUGGUCUAUAGAUGAAGAAAUGAAGGUUCAAGAAUACUGGACAUCUGGACUAAUUAAAUGACAACUAAAUGGCAGAAAUGGUAUUUAAGCUCAGGCCUAGCAGAUGCAAAGUCAUGGGCACAUGUCAAGUAUGUAAUAUUGUAUAGCCUAUUAACUCAUCAAUUUAGUCUUUAGAAGGCUGAAUUUCUAAUAUGUAUCAGGAAUAACAUAAAAGGUUGAGAGGAAAACCAUAAAAAGACAAGAUCCAUAUGCAAGUUUAAUUAAUUCAAUAGAAUUUUAAUUAUUUGCCAUGUACUAGUAGUUGUGUGAGACACUACUGACAAAUAAAAAGAUAAGUUAAAAA
rnacentral:lncRNA from 1 species